UCCCUAGCGGUCCAGUGGCUAAGACUCCACGCUCCCAAUGCGGGGGUUCCAGGUUCGAUCCCUGGUCAGGGAA
rfam:TPA: Bos taurus chromosome 4, whole genome shotgun sequence.